rnacentral:rRNA from 1 species
UACCUGGGGUGCAAACGUUGCUCGGAAUUAUUGGGCGUAAAGCGCGCGUAGGCGGUUACUCCAGUCGGAUGUGAAAGCCCUCGGCUUAACUGAGGAAGUGCACCCGAAACUGAGUAGCUAGAGUACUAAAGAGGGCCGCGGAAUUCCCGGUGUAGAGGUGAAAUGCGUAGAGAUUAGGAAGAACACCAGUGGCGAAGGCGACUUACUGGACUGUAACUGACGCUGAGGCAUGAAAGCGUGGGGAGCAAACAGG